GACGAACCGAACGAACGUUAUUCGGAAUCACUGGGCUUAAAGGGCGCGUAGGCGGGCGAUCAAGUCAGGGGUGAAAGCCCCCAGCUCAACUGGGGAAGUGCCUCUGAUACUGAUCGUCUCGAGGGAGAUAGGGGCGUGCGGAACUUCCGGUGGAGCGGUGAAAUGCGUAGAUAUCGGAAGGAACACCGGUGGCGAAAGCGGCGCGCUGGAUCUCUUCUGACGCUGAGGCGCGAAAGCGUGGGGAGCAAACAGG
rnacentral:rRNA from 1 species